CAGUAGCCGCGGUAAUACGGAGGGCGCGAGCGUUACCCGGAUUUACUGGGCGUAAAGGGCGUGUAGGCGGCCUGGGGCGUCCCAUGUGAAAGGCCACGGCUCAACCGUGGAGGAGCGUGGGAUACGCUCAGGCUAGAGGGUGGGAGAGGGUGGUGGAAUUCCCGGAGUAGCGGUGAAAUGCGCAGAUACCGGGAGGAACGCCAAUGGCGAAGGCAGCCACCUGGUCCACUUCUGACGCUGAGGCGCGAAAGCGUGGGGAGCAAACCGGAUUAGAUACCCCAGUAGUCCCUGUCUCUUAUAC
rnacentral:rRNA from 1 species